GACGAACGCUGGCGGCGUGCUUAACACAUGCGAGUCGAACGAGAAUCUGUGGAUCGAGGAUUCGUCCAAGUGAAGCAGAGGACAGUGGCGGACGGGUGAGUAACGCGUGAGGAACCUGCCUUUCAGAGGGGGACAACAGUUGGAAACGACUGCUAAUACCGCAUGAUACAUUUGGGUGGCAUCAUCUGAAUGUCAAAGAUUUAUCGCUGAAAGAUGGCCUCGCGUCUGAUUAGCUAGUUGGUGAGGUAACGGCCCACCAAGGCGACGAUCAGUAGCCGGACUGAGAGGUUGACCGGCCACAUUGGGACUGAGAUACGGCCCAGACUCCUACGGGAGGCAGCAGUGGGGAAGUAUUGGGCAAUGGGCGCAAGCCUGACCCAGCAACGCCGCGUGAAGGAAGAAGGCUUCGGGUUGUAAACUUCUUUUAAGAGGGAAGAGCAGAAGACUGUACCUCUAGAAUAAGCCACGGCUAACUACGUGCUAGCA
rnacentral:rRNA from 1 species